CCUACGGGUGGCUGCAGUGGGGAAUAUUGGACAAUGGGCGAAAGCCUGAUCCAGCCAUGCCGCGUGUGUGAAGAAGGCCUUCGGGUUGUAAAGCACUUUCAGUGGGGAAGAAAGCCUUGGGGCUAAUACCCUCGAGGAAGGACAUCACCCACAGAAGAAGCACCGGCUAACUCCGUGCCAGCAGCCGCGGUAAUACGGAGGGUGCGAGCGUUAAUCGGAAUUACUGGGCGUAAAGCGCGCGUAGGCGGUCUGAUAAGCCGGUUGUGAAAGCCCCGGGCUCACCCUGGGAACGGCAUCCGGAACUGUCAGGCUAGAGUGCAGGAGAGGAAGGUAGAAUUCCCGGUGUAGCGGUGAAAUGCGUAGAGAUCGGGAGGAAUACCAGUGGCGAAGGCGGCCUUCUGGACUGACACUGACGCUGAGGUGCGAAAGCGUGGGUAGCAAACAGGAUUAGAUACCCGAGUAGUC
rnacentral:rRNA from 1 species